ACAGGAGAGAAGCCUUAUCACUGUGAUGUCUGUGGCCAAACGUGACCAUAAAGCAGAGAAGCCAUAUUACUGUGAUAUCUGUGUUAAAUCAUUCCCUGUGAGUUGUAAUUUAUCUAAACUCAGACAUCUCCAUACAGGUGAGAAGCGAUAUCACUGUGAUGUCUGUGACAAAUUGUUUUCCUGAAGUAUAUAAGUUGACAAACGUAUUCAUACUGGAGAGAAGCCAUAUUCUUGUGUAAAUCAUUCUCUCAAGGUAGCCACUUUGCUUCUCACAAACGUUUCCAUACAGGUGAGAAGCCUUAUCACUGUGAUACCUGUGGUAAAUUGUUCUCCUGACGUUGUUGCUUAACUAUACACAAACGUAUUCACAUUAUUUUGAAUUCGUCGGGCAUUAUCUGACAGCUUUCAAAUUUGAAUGGAGUGUUUAUUUUUAGAAUGACAUUGUCGGGUAGGCAUAAGAGGCCAAGUCUGGCUAGUUUGAUUAAAAAAUAAGUAGAGAAUUUGGGCCGGAUAUGGCUGAUUUAAAUUCUAAAAGAUUAACACAGGAAAUACCAAUAUUUCUUAGUGCAAGGACCAUGGCAAUCAUUUUUGAUUGCCAAUGAAAAUUUUUAUGUAAUAGAAUUUAUUUUAAAUAUAAACAAAUGCAGUGAAUAAAGGAUUUGAAAAUGCAUUCUUUUAGCAUUUAUUUGCAUGCAAAAAUUAUAUAUCUAUACACAUGAAAUGAUGCUCAUGAUUGCACCAUUCAAUACAGUUGUAGAAAUUAAAAAGUAAUAAGCAGAAUUGAAUUGGUGAUAAAUGACCGCUCGGUACUUCUGGUGUUAACUAAAUGUGUAUCUAUUCAUAUAGAUGUAUGACUAUCAAUGUGACAAUUCAUAAGAACAAUAAGCAUUUUGAGCUCCUCCUAAAUUGGUGAUAGUGUUGUGGGCUUUCUCCAUGGCAAUAACCAAGCUACUCAUCAGGGAAUUGCUGUAAUUGUCAAAGCUCCUUUUAGGCCAAAGAAAGAAAA